GAAAAACUAUCGCAGCUAGCAAAAGAAGAAAAGAAAUCAUGGUUCUGUUUAAUAUUCCCACCAUUUUAUUUGGAUUGAGUUAUUUGAUUAAUUACAAACUAUAACUAAUAAAUAGUUAGGCGUCCUAAUCAGCUUCAAAUAAUUAUAUUGAAUAAUCUUGCAUCAUGAUUCAUGAAGACUGAAAUAAAAUAUCAACUGAAUUCUAUUUUUGUCUGGCCUAUGCGUAAAAAUCUCACAGCUUGUCCGGCAACAAGGUGUGUUCGCACUGCUUGUUUCCAGUUGUUGACAAGUCUGGAACAAGUUGUCAUCGUCUUGUAACAAGGUUGAUAAGGCCAACAAACUCGCAGCAAGUUGUUCCAACAAAUCUGAUAAUAUCGUCUGCACUUAAUUAACAAGUUGUUAACAAGUUGAUGACAACAAGCUCGUAGCAACACAUUACGCCAUUAGUCUUGUUGGAACAACUUGUAGUAAGUCUGUUGUCGUCAUCAAUCUUGUAGAUGAUAACCUGAACUUGUUUGCAGAUCUAUAAGAACUUGUGUAUUUGUUUUCGAAAGAUUAUAUGUUAUUAUAUUUACACUUGGGGUUGGUACGUACCUAAAGCCUGGUAAGGUUUCUAUAUGGUUGUGACGGUCGUGAAGAUUGAGUCACGAUCUUUCUCAUCCGCCGAAAUUUUAGAACUGAGAACACGCGGAGUGAUUAUAAUUUACUAUAGAGAAUACUUAACAGUUAUUCUACGAACUCGAGUCGAAUAUGAGCGGAUAGCUAUCGGCUAUCGCUCAUAUUCGACGAGAGUGAGUGGAAUAACUGUUUUAUUAUAUACACAAGGUCUGAAUUCACAGACUUUGCUUUUCGGAUAUUUUCAAUAUUUUUCUAUUUUGUUUAUGUUUUUAUCUUCGCUCUUUCGGCCGAUUAUUUUUUCCAAAAUAUAUAUUUUUAACCAUUUUAAAUUUUAAAAAUUUAUUUGCUAACCUGAAAACAAUUUGUGGGAGUUUUUUCAUUGUGUUUUUAAUCCUGUUAAGGUUAUAAAAAGCGACAAGUUGCCGUUUUCUCGUUUGCAAAACAUCGUAAAUUCAGUUUGGCCGCCAGUUUGUUUUUCUCUACUAGCAGGAUAUGAGCUAAUAUCCUGCUAGUAGAGAACCAAUCAGAUUGCAGAAUACCUCAUAUCCAGACCUUGUGUAUAUAUAAUAAUUAUAUUUAUAUGUGGUUUACAGGCAUAAACUAUUAUAAACUGGCCGUUGAGACUGAUCGUGACUCUAUUUUUACGACCAUUACGACCAUAUGGAAACCAGGAUCAAGUGUGGAUGUGUUAAUCAUGCUUGCAGCAAGUCCUAUGAUACGUUUGUGGAACAUGCAUUUCACCUUCUGCGCACGUGGUCAGCCAGGUGAAUUAACCGGCUGUCUUGCUCUCGCCAACACCGCGAAAAAAACGUCUGCGCAUGCGUCAACCAUACUAAAAUUUGCCUUGCGAACGUGGUGUCAAGUAUUCCAAAGGUUGUCAAAAACUCAAAAUGGAAGCGAUGUUUCAAUGUUUUGCCUUUUCUGUGAAAAUCCAAGCGGAAUAAUAAAUGUAACAAACUAAAAACUAGAAAUAAUCACAGUUUAUAUG
rnacentral:lncRNA from 1 species